rnacentral:rRNA from 1 species
GACGAACGCUGGCGGCGUGCUUAACACAUGCAAGUCGAACGGAAAGGCCCUGCUUUUGUGGGGUGCUCGAGUGGCGAACGGGUGAGUAACACGUGAGUAACCUGCCCUUGACUUUGGGAUAACUUCAGGAAACUGGGGCUAAUACCGGAUAGGAGCUCCUGCUGCAUGGGGGGGGUUGGAAAGUUUCGGCGGUUGGGGAUGGACUCGCGGCUUAUCAGCUUGUUGGUGGGGUAGUGGCUUACCAAGGCUUUGACGGGUAGCCGGCCUGAGAGGGUGACCGGCCACAUUGGGACUGAGAUACGGCCCAGACUCCUACGGGCGGCAGCAGUGGGGAAUAUUGCACAAUGGGCGGAAGCCUGAUGCAGCAACGCCGCGUGCGGGAUGACGGCCUUCGGGUUGUAAACCGCUUUCGCCUGUGACGAAGCGUGAGUGACGGUAAUGGGUAAAGAAGCACCGGCUAACUACGUG